rnacentral:rRNA from 1 species
AUAUCAAUAAGCGGAGGAAAAGAAACCAACAGGGAUUGCCUCAGUAACGGCGAGUGAAGCGGCAACAGCUCAAAUUUGAAAUCUGGCUCCUUCGGCGCCCGAGUUGUAAUUUGCAGAGGAUGCUUCGGCGUGGUCGCCGCCCAAAGUUCCUUGGAACGGGACGUCAUAGAGGGUGGGAACCCCGUAUGCGGCUGGUGUGCCGUGCCAUGUGAAACCCCUUCGACGAGUCGAGUUGUUUGGGAAUGCAGCUCUAAAUGGGAGGUAUAUUUCUUCUAAAGCUAAAUACUGGCCAGAGACCGAUAGCGCACAAGUA